GACGUAGGAGGCAAGCGUUGUCCGGAAUUACUGGGCGUAAAGAGUCCGUAGGCGGUCCCGUCAGUGGCGCGUGAAAGCCCCGGGCUCAACCCGGGUGAGGGCGCGCCAGACUGCGGGACUGGAGGGUCGGAGAGGCGCGUGGAACGGUGCAAGUAGCGGUGAAAUGCGUAGAGAUGCAUCGGAACACCGGUGGCGAAGGCGGCGCGCUGGACGGCACCUGACGCUGAGGGACGAAAGCCAGGGGAGCGAACGGG
rnacentral:rRNA from 1 species